GUUAUGUAAGCCGAAAUUGAAGAAGUUAAAACGCACAAGUAUACGCUUGAAAUGCGUUCAAUAUCCAUUGGUCGAAGGAUGGUCAACAAUGCCAUUGACUUGAACUUUUCGUCGGAUGGAGCUUGGUGUUGUCCUUGUUGGUGACUCUAGGUGCCGUUACCAUGGUACAUUAAGAACGACUCUGGUUGUAAAUUCAACUGUUUUAUGUGCUUUUUGUUACGCAUUGCUAAACUACUAGCCAACCAGGACCAGACAGGGUUCAGUUUUCAGUUUGCAAUGGGCACGCCUCACAAAUGUUUCCCUCAAACAUGACGACCGCAAAGCAACAUAAAAAAAGGAUGGCAAUUGAAACAUGAGCCUAUUAUUUUAAUUAGAUGUUAGAAUGGUUUCCAUUCAUGAUUAUUCUGUUCUUUACAUUAGCUCCAUGACACCCCCAUACUGACGUAUACUUAUUUUAAGAAAAUAAGGCGACCCCAGAUGUGAUGAUCUGGUAGUGUUAGUUAUCAGAAUCUGAAUUGAUUGGUCGUUCGUGAAAAACUUUAUUAAUGAAUCAACCCUUGUUCGCUGAAAACAGAAGAACCCAUACUAAAGCAUUAUAUUUUCGCAUAUUACUAUGGCCCGAUUAAAUAUUAAUAACCCAAUAGGAAGCCGUAUGGUAUCUGAUUACACUGUCACUCCUCAUGUCACGUAGUCUGUGAACGACUAAGACAUAUUACACUAGGCCACAAACGCAUCGGUUGUAUGUAUGUAUAUAAAAAAUGAGGUAUGGCGGAAAGACAGGAUGUGCAGCCUACAUGUCAAAUACACCAAAUGCUGGAUAGAUGUCUGGCCUGAAAACUAAGCAAACAAAAUCAAAAGACAACGGGCAACUGAACUGACUCUUAAUCUUGAAUGUGUAUAUCAUUUGGAUUGAUUGCAGGAAUAGACAAGCCGUGAAGUGUUUUUGUUUGCUUGUGGCCGUUUGCUAUGAUGUUUCCCUCUAAGACAGAGAAUAUGUAUUAUGUAUGUGUAUUUUAUGUGUGGAUAUGUGAAUCUAUGAACCGGAUAAGUUUUGUUUGCCAAGAGGACAUCCGAACAAGCGUCGCCGUCAGACGCCAAUGACGCCGUCGAUGUCACACUUGGAUUGUUGACACGAGCAGUAGCGUAAAUGAGUUAUGAAUUUCGUAGUCACGGAUUUCCAACCCUUUCCAUAGCUGAUACGUUUUUAUAGUAAUUUAAAAUAAUUUGUGUUUUGAAUAAACUAAAUCGGAUCGAAAUAUUUUUAUAAGAA